rnacentral:lncRNA from 1 species
AGGCAAAGAUGUCUGCUUCCUUAGCAACAGGAAGCUGCAGCUCACCCAGGCCACACUCACCCUGACACCGUCAGCAGUAAACAAUACAAAACAACUACUUACAGAUAAGCCUGAACAUGAAGGUGUGAAAGUUGGUGUCCUAACCCUGGCUUUUCUUAUACUUUUUAUAAUACAUGAAGCCAAAAGGACAUGCUGAUGAAGUUGUUCAAGAUGGAAUCAGUGUGUUGGAGGAAAAGAAAGCACAAACUAACACUCUUAGGGACAGAAGUGGACUAUUCUUUUACGAGAACACAAAGUAUCCAGUGAAUUUGUGUCCAUAACCCAAACACCAAAGAAUCUUCUAGCUGUGGAGAAAGACCCCAAAACUAUU